CAGUAGCCGCGGGAAUACGGAGGGUGCAAGCGUUAAUCGGAAUUACUGGGCGUAAAGCGCACGCAGGCGGUUUGUUAAGUCAGAUGUGAAAUCCCCGAGCUUAACUUGGGAACUGCAUUUGAAACUGGCAAGCUAGAGUCUUGUAGAGGGGGGUAGAAUUCCAGGUGUAGCGGUGAAAUGCGUAGAGAUCUGGAGGAAUACCGGUGGCGAAGGCGGCCCCCUGGACAAAGACUGACACUGAGGCACGAAAGCGUGGGGAGCAAACAGGAUUAGAUACCCCUGUAGUCCCUGUCUCUUAUAC
rnacentral:rRNA from 1 species